rnacentral:rRNA from 2 species
CUAUACAUGCAGUCGAGCGGACAGAUGGGAGCUUGCUCCCUGAUGUUAGCGGCGGACGGGUGAGUAACACGUGGGUAACCUGCCUGUAAGACUGGGAUAACUCCGGGAAACCGGGGCUAAUACCGGAUGGUUGUUUGAACCGCAUGGUUCAAACAUAAAAGGUGGCUUCGGCUACCACUUACAGAUGGACCCGCGGCGCAUUAGCUAGUUGGUGAGGUAACGGCUCACCAAGGCAACGAUGCGUAGCCGACCUGAGAGGGUGAUCGGCCACACUGGGACUGAGACACGGCCCAGACUCCUACGGGAGGCAGCAGUAGGGAAUCUUCCGCAAUGGACGAAAGUCUGACGGAGCAACGCCGCGUGAGUGAUGAAGGUUUUCGGAUCGUAAAGCUCUGUUGUUAGGGAAGAACAAGUACCGUUCGAAUAGGGCGGUACCUUGACGGUACCUAACCAGAAAGCCACGGCUAACUACGUGCCAGCAGCCGCGGUAAUACGUAGGUGGCAAGCGUUGUCCGGAAUUAUUGGGCGUAAAGGGCUCGCAGGCGGUUUCUUAAGUCUGAUGUGAAAGCCCCCGGCUCAACCGGGGAGGGUCAUUGGAAACUGGGGAACUUGAGUGCAGAAGAGGAGAGUGGAAUUCCACGUGUAGCGGUGAAAUGCGUAGAGAUGUGGAGGAACACCAGUGGCGAAGGCGACUCUCUGGUCUGUAACUGACGCUGAGGAGCGAAAGCGUGGGGAGCGAACAGGAUUAGAUACCCUGGUAGUCCACGCCGUAAACGAUGAGUGCUAAGUGUUAGGGGGUUUCCGCCCCUUAGUGCUGCAGCUAACGCAUUAAGCACUCCGCCUGGGGAGUACGGUCGCAAGACUGAAACUCAAAGGAAUUGACGGGGGCCCGCACAAGCGGUGGAGCAUGUGGUUU